AUUGAACGCUGGCGGCAGGCCUAACACAUGCAAGUCGAGCGGAUGAAGGGAGCUUGCUCCUGGAUUCAGCGGCGGACGGGUGAGUAAUGCCUAGGAAUCUGCCUGGUAGUGGGGGAUAACGUCCGGAAACGGGCGCUAAUACCGCAUACGUCCUGAGGGAGAAAGUGGGGGAUCUUCGGACCUCACGCUAUCAGAUGAGCCUAGGUCGGAUUAGCUAGUUGGUGGGGUAAAGGCCUACCAAGGCGACGAUCCGUAACUGGUCUGAGAGGAGGAUCAGUCACACUGGAACUGAGACACGGUCCAGACUCCUACGGGAGGCAGCAGUGGGGAAUAUUGGACAAUGGGCGAAAGCCUGAUCCAGCCAUGCCGCGUGUGUGAAGAAGGUCUUCGGAUUGUAAAGCACUUUAAGUUGGGAGGAAGGGCAGUAAGUUAAUACCUUGCUGUUUUGACGUUACCAACAGAAUAAGCACCGGCUAACUUCGCG
rnacentral:rRNA from 1 species